CCCCUGCUAAUCUCUCCCGCACGACGCGCCCCGCACGCCGCGCACCUCCUACACGCCACAUCUCCCGCACGCCGCGCACCCCGCACGCCGCCUACAGUCUGCGCCCGAACCUCUCCCCCACCGAUCCAAUCUCGCCGCGCCCCCCGCACGCCACCGCGCCUGCAGUCUGCGCCUGAUCCAAUCUCGCCGUGCUCCCCGCCCGCACGCCGCCGCCGCCGCCGCCGUCGAGUUCGACCGCGCGGGCUCCGAGGACAUCCGUCGUCGCCUCCCCCCGGGACCUCUCCAUCUGCCGCCGCCGUCGAGUUCGUCCGCGCGGGCUCCGGGGACAUCCGUCGUCGCCUCCCCCCGGGACCUCUCCAUCACCGUCGCCUUCGCCGUCCAGUUCGUCCGCGCCGUCUCCGAUGGGGAUCCGUCGUCGCCUCCCCCAGGACCUCGCCAUCACUGUCGCCGUCUCCGUCGCCGUCGCGUUCAUCCGCGCAGGCUCCGUCGCCGUCCCCGGUGAGUGCCCAACAGAAUAUCAGGUUCAGUUCCUUCCCAAAUCCAAGCAAGUGUGUCUGCACCAAAUAAAACAGUGCUCCAUAUAUUUCAACUAGCCAAACUCAGUUCCCUUGCACCUUCUAACUUCCCUGAUGCCCACACGUAGUACUUUGAAGGUGCUUAAAAACUGAAAACCGAAGCACCACAUUAGGAGCUGGUAGGUGUAGCAUAGAAAACAGCAGUAUCUAGAUGAGGAAACAGUAUGCAAAUGUAAUGCAGAUCAGACGUUCAUAUAAUUCAUCAGCUUUCAAUUCAACAAUUUGAAUUGACUGAUUUUUCUCCUCAAAUAACUCAGGCUGAACAUCAGCUGAAUUUUCACCAGUAGGCAGCUUCCCUUGAGAUAGUUGCUGGUUAAAAAAAAUUGUCCUAUUCAGAUAGAUGUUUAGUAUUUAUUUCAACAAUUUGAAUUGACUGAUUUUUCUCCUCAAAUAACUCAGGCUGAACAUCAGCUGAAUUUUCACCCGUGGGCAGCUUCCCUUGAGAUAGUUGUAGGUUAAAAAAAAUUGUCCUAUUUAUGUUGCGGUUAGUAUUUAUUUCAAAGUUUUAAGUACUUGAAUUACUAAUAGUUGAACUACCAAGGGUUUAAUUAUUGGUAGAUGUGAUCAGGGGACUGCUCAAAUACUGCCCAGCCACAACUCAUGAGUCGUCAGAAGGUGUGUUCAGCCUGGGAUAGUUAGAACUUUUGUUCAGCCUGGGAGAGCUGAACCUGUAUCGUUCUGAUUGGUAAACCUGUAAAUGCAAUAGGUCCUCCCAACAAUAAGAAAGGUACUAAUUUUUUUCUUUCCCUUUAUCAUAUUAUUUUUAUCUUUAUAUCUUUAUUAAGUAUCCGUUCCAAGUACACGUCUCACGAAAUACCACUGGAUAAGGUCCUGGUCUCCCCGUUGAUGCUCUUGAACUUCGAAGAGAGCGGCAAGCCGGCAACGAGCCCGUUGUGCCGCAAUGACAGAUGAGCAAAGAGAGGAAAAGAACAGGAAGCGUCGUGAGGCAUACAGAUGGAAAAAGAGCUAUGCAAACAAGGAAAAUGAGCUAGGUUGUAACAUACAUGUUUUCAAAUCGAGUAAUGCUGAUACUAAUAUAGCCAAACAUCCAACAGGUAUUUUUUUUUCAUUUCUUGGUCGGCAUUCUACAUCUAUGGAUAACAAACUCAUUUUAACUGUCUUUAGGAAUUUCUGGCCUGAGACGAGAAAGUGACAGGGCCCUGAGUGACUUGAAUUCAAAUGAUAAAAGGCUUGAAACGAACAAGAAGAUGCGUGAAGCUUAUCGGAUGAAGAAAGAUGUAACCAAGGGCGCAAAAAUUUCAUCAGAUUUAAAUUUCAAGGACAGUGCUGCUGAAGAACAUGCACACAUCUCAGGCACUGUCCAGUUUCUGCCCACUAAUGAUUUAAAUUUCAAUGAUGGUGCUGCUGAACAAUAUAUAGAAUGUGUCUCGUGUACUGCGCCAACCAACGAGCAUCCCCCCACUGAUGACGAAAAUGAUGCACCCAUCACCAGCACUCCUAUCGUUGAGCAUCCCGCCGAUUCGACCCCGGUGGGCAUGGUGGAGUCUAAUCUCUCUUACGCAUAUACAGAUGUACCACCAGUAGUUGGCUAUACACACUUGCCUGCAUGUGCGGAUACCUCAAGUGUGAGUGUAAAGUCCCGUAAGACACGAACCUUAACAGACGAUCAACGGGUCAGAAUAAAUAAACGUCGUCGUGAAUUAGACCAUGAGAAAAACCAAUCGAAGAAGCAAACGAAGACUGGUGCGGAACGUAAUCGAGAUUACAAGAGAAGAUUAAAAGAUUUCUGGGAAAACAAUCUACACCCAGAAUCCAUCGCCAUGGAAAAUCCUCAAUUUAUCCCUCAAAUCAUAUUUUCUUAUGCCAUGGGUAAAAUCUACAAAAUUUAUGCUAUUUGUGCUUGACCAUAAGGAUAAAAAAUUUACCUGGAUUGACCCGACCUCAACUCCAGAAUGGUGCAAAGAUAUGCCAUACAAGAAGUAUGCGCGUGCAAUCCUAGAUCUGGGUAUAAAGUAUAUGAGUGCUAUGAGAGUAUAUGACCAAAAAUGGAGUCAGAACAUUUUCACGUGGAAAGCUAAAAGUACAGAUGGUAUUAUCGAGGAUAAAGACGGGUUAUGACUCUGUCACAUGUAUUCACAGAGCAUUCAAGCACAGGUGUUUAACUGGCUACAUAGUUCUGCAAUAUAUGGCUGCCUAGAAGCAUGUGAUGACUACACCAAUAUGUGUGGAUGGACAAGCACUGAAGAGGAAUUUUGUGAUUGACGCGCUAGCGUUCGAUGGAAACUCAUAUCGGAAAAUACUUCCUGAUUGUGUUAAGAAGUGCCUAAGCCGCAUCACAGGAAAAGACAUUUGAAUUAGAUAUAUGAGAUAAAAUAUUCAAACUAUGCUUAUGAGAUUAUGGAUACUGUGAUUUUGUCUAGAUGAAUUCUUAAUCCAUUAUGGAUAUUUUGAUUUCAUUGAAUGCAAUAUUUUUUGGACGUGUAGAAUAUUGGUUUGGGUUUACUUUUGUUCACUCAUAGCACUGGAAUGAUUCUUUCAAGUCUAAAUUAGCCUUAUAAUAUCAUGUUGCUAAGACCAACAUCAUGCUACUCAUGCUAUACAUUACUUUGAGUAAACUUUUACCACUGUAGUUGAAUUUUGAUGAAGUUUUAUAAAAUUGAAUUAUAAAUUAAUAUAUAAAUUGGUAAUAUUUUUGUUGUCCGUAGCAACGCAUUAUUGCCCGUAGCACGGGCACUCACCUAGUAUAUACUACUAAAAAGAGGCUUAAGCGUGACUUUUUUUCGUCUACAUGGUCGCCCCCUCGCCCAGCCGCCGCAGUCGGCCCUCUCUCCCUGGCCGUCGACCUGUGCCCGUCGUCGCCUGCAUCGUGGCCUGCGUCCCGCGCGCCACUUCCUCCUCCUUUUAUCCUUCCCUCUCUCUCCACACGGGAAGUCAAGCAGAGCCGUCGCCGUCGCCGUCGCCGCCCCCAGAUCCGGCGCCUACCGGUCAUCCCCCUCCGAUUGCCCACAUCCAUAGUUGUGUCGCCCUCUACUGCACGUCAGCCUGUCGAUCCCCGCCCGCCUCCUCCAAGCCGUCGGGGCCACCGUCGCCGUCGCCCCCGCCUCCUCCGAUCCCUCUGAGACGUCGCCCCCUGUACCGCGGCCCCUGAUUGGUGGUGGUAUUAGAAGCGACCCAGCGAGCGCACCACGGACGAAGUGGAUCUCAGUGCCAGAUUUAGGGACUGCGAGGACGACUCCACCGCCGGACCAGAAGGCGUUGGAGAUGAUUCUAGAGAAGCUGCAAAAAAAGGAUACAUGCGGAGUGUUUGCUUAGCCAGUGGAUCCGGAGGAGUCGCCUAAUUAUCAUGAUGUGAUUGAGCACCCAAUGGACUUCGAUACCGUCAGAAGGAAGCUUGCCAGGAACACAUACUGCUCAUUCCGUCAUUCGAGCAAUUUGAGGUGGGCUUAAAAUGGUGCUGCAAACCCUCAGGCGGGCUCGCCCCCUCGCCAUCGUCGUCGCGUUCUCCUCCGAACUGGCGUUGCAAACCUCCUAGAUCUGCAGCAACGCCGAGGCUGAUGGUGGCAGCAAGGGUGAUGCGAGGCAGGCCAGGUCGCGUCCAGGAGGGGGCAAGGACGGUGGGCGUGGCGGUCGGCGAAGCGGCAGGAAAGGGUCCAGCUCCCGGCCAUUGUCUCUGGCGGUGACGUCGGCGAGUUCGUGCGGCACCCUGACAUUGUGGAGUCCCUCCUCAACACCGGCGCGCUCGAGAGGGGGGUGGGGGGAGGGGGGUAGGGGGUGCUGGGCCCGUGCUCUGCUGCAUCAGGUUCUGGGCUUCGAGGUCACGCCGGUGCUCGAGCUCCGCGUCGCCCUGACGAGCACCGACUGCACCGUCGAGAUGCUGUCGUGCAGGAUUGAUGCAAGGCCUGCUGGACAGGCUUGUCCGUGUCCUGGGGGAGCAGUUGCUGAGGGACUACCAUUCCUGGGUUCAGCAGUAGCCUGAAGCUUCUUCAUGAGGUAGAGGGAGCCCGGUGCACAGUCCCCCAACGCCUUGAGCAUUUCAUGCUAGGAUGGUGCAGAUUCAGAGCUCUGGGAAUCCAUGUGCAUGGUUCAUAGGGGUGUCAUUCGACCAUAUGGAUAUAACCUUGUCGAAGGUAUUCAAGUGCAGCAGUAGAUAGUAUACUGUGUCUUCCCCAACACCAACAGAUGGUACUGUGUGCAUUGGCAAAUACUUUCCAUCAUUGUAAGAAAAAGUCUACUAGCCUAGGAGAGCUCAACAAAUCGUACAUUGGAAUCUGUAGAUCAACCCAAGUCCCAGCAGUUGGAAUGCUUGAUUUCUCGAAUAGUGCAUGGUUUUCAGUGAUCAGGUGUACAGAUAUGGUUAAUCAUUUACUCAAUUAGAAUGAAAUGAAAAGGCAACCCAAAUGUUUCUAUUUUGAUUCGAAGGCACGUCACCUAAUUGGUUGUCCAGAUGCUUAUAGCAUUAAGAUGUUUAUAAGGCUCCAGUUAUCCUCACAGUUAGCUGGUGACAUUUCUCACAUUUGUAUACUGUGAUGAUAUACAUUUUACUCGUAUAGAAGGGGAUAAAUUUUAGGUCAAUUUUGUUUACUGUAAAAUAAUAGAUUCUAAUCUUACAUUUA